rnacentral:rRNA from 1 species
AAUGAACGUUGGCGGCAUGGAUUAGGCAUGCAAGUCGAGCGAGAAGUGUAGCAAUACACGGAAAGCGGCGGAAGGGAGAGUAAUACGUGGGAAUCUGCCCUUAGACCUGGGAUAGCAGCGGGAAACUGCUGGUAAUACCAGAUAAUGUCUAUGGACCAAAGGUGUGAUUCCGUCUAGGGAUGAGCCCACGUCCUAUUAGCUAGUUGGUAGGGUAAUGGCCUACCAAGGCGAUGAUGGGUAGCGGGUGUGGGAGCAUGACCCGCCUCACUGGGACGGAGACACUGCCCAGACACCUACGGGUGGCUGCAGUCGAGAAUCUUCGGCAAUGGGCUCAAGCCUGACCGAGCGAUGCCGCGUGCGGGAUGAAGGCCUUCGGGUUGUAAACCGCUGUCGAGGGGGAGCAACUUCCAUAGAGUUAUCUUUAUGGAUUGAGUGAUCCCUGGAGGAAGGACGGGCUAAGUUCGUGCCAGCCGCCGCUGUAAUAC